UGCAAUCCAUGAUGCAAACUACCCAAUUUCUGAUUUUCUGUGAUUAUUUACACAUAUCACCAUCUUUCGGCUGAGGUUGCA